CACGUUUAAUUUUACAAAAAAUGAAUAACUGUUUUGCAAAGUAACUUCAUUCCUACCAUGAUGUAUAAAUGUUCCAGUUGCUCCGCAUCUUUGCCAAACUUGUUAUUCAUCAGUCUUUUAAUUUCAGCCAUUCUAGUGGUGUGCCGUAUCUCACUAUUAUUUUUAUUUGCAUUUCCCUAAUGACUGAGGUUGAAGAUCUUUUCAUGUGUUUGUUACCUGUAUAUCUGCUUUGGUGACAGGUCUCUUCAAAUCUUUGGCCCAGUUUUUUAAUGGGUUUGUCUUUUUGUUACUUAGUUGCAAAAGUUCCUUACAUAUUCUGAAUACAAGUCCUUUGUUGCACAUAAACUUUCAUAUAAAUGUCUCAUAUGCUAUUAAUAUAACCACACCAGUUUUCUUUUGAUUGCUAUUUGAUGAGUAUAUAUUCUUUCAUCAUUUCACCUUCAACCUUCUAAGAGUAAGUUUUAAUUAUGUCUCUUAUGAACAGCAAAUAGUAUUUAAAAUAACAUCUGACUAUCACAAUCAUUAUGAUUACUGAUAUAUUCGGAUUUAUUACUAUCACUAUAAUUUGUGAAAAUUUAACAUGUUAUUUUGCUCCUUUUUCUCAAUUCUUCUUGCCUUAUUUUAGCGUUACAAAGUCUUCUAUAUUCUCUUUUCCUCCUCUAAUUUUAGUGGCUAUUGUUAAAUUUUCCUAAUAAAUUUUAAGAUUAUUUGAUGUCUCUAUCCUCUUAUCCCGAGUGUAUCACAUUUUACUUAAUAAACACAUUGCCACAUCUAAACACUCAUUUUGUCUUCACUUCUAGAAAAUGUUCAGCUAUUAUUUUUUCAGAUAUUAUUUCUCUUUUCUCUUCCUCUCUCUUCUCUAGAACUCCUAUUAGAUGUAUACCAGAGCCUUUCUGAAGGAUUCUUUUAUAGUUUUUAUCUGUGAAAUUCUUCAGUACAUCAGUUAAUUACAUUCAGCUACUAAACAGUGGCUUAAAAAAAAUAGAGGAGUCAGUCCAGGACUAGCCUAACAGCUCCAUAGGCCAGCAAGGACCCAGGCUCCUUCUUCCUCAAACG
rnacentral:lncRNA from 10 species